GGAGUGUCUUGCACCCAGCGAGUGACGUCACGAGGUAGCAGGAAGUUGCCGCUCCGCGCGUGAACUGCAAUCCGAGGCCACGCCCGCUUGAGCUGCUGUACCACUCUUGUUUUCAGAAGCGACCUGCCCACAACAACAACAACAAGUUGCAGAUCAGCUGGAGAGGAGUGUCUUGCACCCAGCGAGUGACGUCACGAGGUAGCAGGAAGUUGCCGCUCCGCGCGUGAACUGCAAUCCGAGGCCACGCCCGCUUGAGCUGCUGUACCACUCUUGUUUUCAGAAGAGACCUGCCCACAACAACAACAACAAGAUGGAGCUCAUUGAGGGCUACAUUGCCGCACAGUUCAGCGCGCGAUUGCCACGGUUCAGCAUGGCCACCUUCAUCCAGUCCCCACCAUGAUUGCUGCUGCUGCUUCACAGCCACCAGCGGCAUCGUCUCCAACAUCAUCAGCAGCACCAGGAGCAUCACCGGCGUCAGCACUAAUACCAUCACAAUCAUUAUCAGCAUCAUCUGCAUUAUCAGCAGCAGCAUCAUCACCAGCAGCAUCAUUAACACCACCAUCAGGGUAAUGUUUUGAAUUAUUUAAACUAUGUUUAUUUUACCAGGUAAGGCCCACUGAGCUACGUAGCUAAUUUGUAAAAAUCAGCAGCCAACUCCUCUAUGAACGCGCGAUGUUGAUUCUAAAUGUGGAGGGGAAAACCCCGGAGGACCCGGAGAAAGAUCUUGGUGACCACGGGGGGAGAGAGACGCCGACUCCAAAUGUACAGCAGGCGAGAUCACACACACACAGCGGCAGCAGUCAUCACCCCCCUGCCUACUGGCAGCAGACUGAUGCACAGGGACGGCUGCCACUGGGGGUGCCCCUCGGCUAGACCACACAACCGCAAUCAAUGCUCCCUACUGGCAGCAGACUUCUCUUUUUCAGUGAGGCUGCUGAUGUAGGUGCAGAGACAACGACUACGAUGUCACAUCAUCAUCGCUGUGAUGUCUCUUGGUAUAUGAGUCUGUAGCUCUCAACGGGUCUCUAUGAUUUAAAGCUUUCGUGACUGCAGGGAUUCAUCUUCUUGGUUCUUUCGGUAAAGUCACGUAGAAGGGAAGUAAUAAAAUAAUAAAAAUAAAACAUAAUAAAAUAAUUCUCACGACGUUUCGGCCACAACGCAAGCAGCCGUCCUCAGGUGAAACCAGGUCUGUCGAGGCGACAGCGUCUGAAUGAAACAGCACACGUGC